AAUUUUAGGCAAGUGCUAGCAUAGACUGCUUGAUGAUGGAUCAGUGGAGUUACAAAUUUCAUUUGGUGGGCUUCUGAUGCUGCUGAAGGGUGAUCACUCUCAUUUUAACAAGUUUGAGCUUGAUCAGAGGUUGUAUCUUCUGAUGAGGAAAGUCUGAAGACCAGGGUGAAGAAAGCUUGUUUCGAACAUCGAUGUAUGACAUUGUUUACCGUUUGAAAUACUAAUGCAGGUCUUCAUGACCUAAUGAUGUUUUAAAAACAAAUAUUUGGUAACCUUGAAUUAACUUCUGGAAGAAAUUAUCUACAAAAAGUGUAAUUCGGUUUGCUAUCAAACCAAAGAUUGCUGCAUGACUAUCAAGUUUGGAUUAGUUUCCAGUAAAUAAAUUUAGUUGAAACAAA